AGGUAAAGACUACUUUAGCUUCCGAGAUCUGGUUGCGGUUCUAGUUCUUAUACUCCAUCAUACACAUGUCAUCUAGUCAUAUUUGACUCCAAAACGAUAAUAAAGAUUCUAUUGUGUUCUUAGUGUACAUUUACUC
rnacentral:sRNA from 1 species